rnacentral:lncRNA from 1 species
UUUUAAUAUUAUCAUACAUUUAUUAUAUAUGAAGCAUUUUUUUAAGUUAAACAAUCCCAAAGAGCUUUACAAACUUAACAAAUUAGAGCAGCAGCACUGAGGUGCAGCUGGCUCUGGGGUGGAGAGCAGUGACCAAACACCACGCAGCGCACUACAGAACAGUGUGGGAAGGGAAAGCCAAGGACACUGACGUAAGCUCCUACUUUUACAAGAAGUGCAAUGGGAUCGUAAACAUCCCUGUGGCAUAGGCAGAGUCUCAGUUUUGAUACCUACCAUCACCCAGUAAACUAAAUGGUCUACAUUUUAUAGGAAGGAAAAAAGGUUGAGGUCAGUUCUGCUGGGAUCAGAACUGAUGGUGUCGAGGUGUUGCAAACCUAAUGUUUAGGCUGCUCAGCCAUCCUUGCUAGCUGUCACUUUGGGAGAGAAAGAAGCUAUAGAUCCCGUAUAACAAUGAAAGCCCUAAUGGAUCAGUGCAUGGUAAUCAAACUGUAAAUUCCCUGGGGCAAAGAAUGUCUCAUAUAUAUGUUUGCACCAUGCUGGACACAGUAAUGAUGCUCAGAAAAAGAACAGUUAUUCCCCGUGGGGGUCCUUGGGUGGAUCGUUGGUCUAAUAUCACUUUUAAACACUGGAAAGUAAGCUGAGUCUGGCACUAUAGCAGCUGGACAGGGCUGGGAAUGGGAGAGCUGUUGUGUGAACGGGAAUCUGGCAGAGGUUGUGGGGAAUUGCAACUUUCAAAGUCUGUUCUGUUGACUCUUCGCUAAUAUGUUGGUUCUUUGUAUCUCUCUGUCUUGUCUUUACUGUAAGCACUUCAGGGCAGGAAUGAACUCUUCUAAAGUCUUGUUUACAUGAGAAAGUUUUGACCAGUUAUACCACUAUAAUUAUAUCAUUGUAGUUAACCUGAUAUACUGGUAUGACUCCAGAUGAGGACACCAUUUUUUUCUGAUUUGAGUGGCUUCGGGGAAUGGGGUACAGGAAACCCAGGAAGCAUCCUUACCUGGAUAGAGUUCGGCUGCGGCAGCUGCUGCAACAGAGAGGAAGCGUGUUUUCUGUUUGACGGCUAAGCUCCAAAUUACAACCGCUCUGACGAUGCCUGGCUGUGUGGUUACUCAUGGUCUUCUCUUCACAAAUCAGGUGAACUGGUUAUCUAUUUUAAAAAAACGGGGGUGAGGGGAGGCGAGGCGGAGAGGAAAUCAGGCAGUUUCCUGUUUGUUUGUGCUGAACAAAAAUGUGUUUGGUUGUUCUGAGUGAUAAGUAAGCCUGCAAGCAGCCUUAGAGAGUCUAGAGCUCAGCUAUGCAAAUUAACAUUAGAGAAUUGUA